rnacentral:tRNA from 1 species
GCCCCGGUGCUCUAGGAGAAGGCGGGCUCCUGCUCGGCCUCGAUCUGCGCGUUCCAGUCGCGCUUGGAGGCC